rnacentral:rRNA from 1 species
UACAGAGGGGGCAAGCGUUGUUCGGAAUUACUGGGCGUAAAGGGCGCGUAGGCGGCCUGCUAAGUCGAACGUGAAAUCCCCGAGCUCAACCCGGGAACUGCGUCCGAUACUAACAGGCUCGAAUCCGGGAGAGGGAUGUGGAAUUCCAGGUGUAGCGGUGAAAUGCGUAGAUAUCAGAAGGAACAUCAGUGGCGAAGGCGGCUUCCUGGACCAAUACUGACGAUCAGGUGCGAAAGCGUGGGGAGCAAACAGG